GAUGAAGAACGUAGCGAAAUGCGAUAAGUAAUGUGAAUUGCAGAAUUCCGUGAAUCAUCGAAUCUUUGAACGCACAUUGCGCCCCCUGGUAUUCCGGGGGGCAUGCCUGUCCGAGCGUCAUUGCAACCCUCAAGCGCGGCUUGUGUGUUGGGCUUCGUCCCCCCGUGGACGUGCCCGAAAGGCAGUGGCGGCGUCCCGAAUGGUGCCCGAGCGUAUGGGAACUCUCUUCUGCUCGAACCGGCCCAUUCGGCGCUGGUCGAACCCCAAUUUUUUUUUACCGGUUGACCUCGGAUCAGGUAGGGAUACCCGCUGAACUUAAGCAUAUCAAUAAGCGGAGGA
rnacentral:misc_RNA from 1 species